CCUACGGGUGGCAGCAGUGAGGAAUAUUGGUCAAUGGGCGCGAGCCUGAACCAGCCAAGUAGCGUGAAGGAUGACUGCCCUACGGGUUGUAAACUUCUUUUAUAAAGGAAUAAAGUGAGGCACGUGUGCCUUUUUGUAUGUACUGUAUGAAUAAGGAUCGGCUAACUCCGUGCCAGCAGCCUCGGUAAUACGGAGGAUCCGAGCGUUAUCCGGAUUUAUUGGGUUUAAAGGGAGCGUAGAGGGGUUGUUAAGUCCGUUGUGAAAGUUGGCGGCUCAACCGUAAAAUUGCAAUUGUUACUGGCAGCCUUGAGUACAGUUGAGGUCGGCGGAAUUCGUGGUGUAGCGGUG
rnacentral:rRNA from 1 species